ACAGCCCUGCCCGCCUGACGUAAUUGCCAGAAUCGACGUAUUUUUGUUUAUGUGUGCCCGCUCCCCCGCCCCUCAAAAAGCGAGUGGGAAGCUGCUGCCGCCCGAUCCCGAUGUCCACAUCCAGGUGCGGAAAAUACUAACUCCGCCACUUCCGCCGGAAUCCCUCCUAGUCCCCGAUGCCAAUCAUCUGUUGCUGACCACAGGAACACUACGCAAAAUCAUCAAAACUGAAACUAAAACAAAGAAAAUAUGAAUCGAUCCGAACCGAUUCCUAUCCGGAGAGACCGGUCUUUCGACAGUGUGCUCAAUCGACUGCUCCGGAUGAGGUCCCAGAACCAUGAGAGUUUUCGCGCUGCCAUGUACAACUUCCUGAUCGCCGCUGGAGUGGGGGCCUUCGUGGCCGUCUGCUUCAUCCUCGGACCCUUCGUCCGCCCGCUGCUGUGGGCCUUCCUCAUGGGCGCCGUGCUCUUCCCGUUCAAACGGCGGCUGGCUGAGAGCGUGAACGGUUGGUUCCAGCGCCUGGAGGAACGCGACUCCAACGUUCUGGUUUCUAUAUGCCUGUCCCCGUUGGAGGCCACCGAGCACUGCGGCCGCUUGCUGAUCGGAUGGCUCUGCGAGCACUGGCAACUCCUCCUCGCCGGAUGCGGAGUGGCCGGGUGCAUCAAGCUGUUGGUCCUGUACGCGCCCAAGGGCUUCCUCUUGGCACUCUGGCACUGGAUAACCUUUUCGCACGGCCUGUUCGUUCAAAUUAUCGGAUUCCUCAACGUGUACGUGCUUAUCUCCCUGGUUGUGGUGUACUUGACCUGUGUGCACUUCUUCUGGACGCCAGAUAACAGCGCUCAUUUCGUGGUCGCCGGUCAGUCCAUGUGGAUAGCCGUGGCUGGCUAUCUGAGCAGCUUCCUUGGCGCCCUCCAGGUGCCGGUUUUCUUGCUGGUCAUGGCCUAUGUAACAGCCUCUACGGCGUAUCAUCUGCAGACGAUUGAUGAUUCGGGAUCCUACUUGCAUCGCUUGCAAAAGUUGUUCGACAAGAACGAUUUCGAGCGAUCGCUGAGCAACUUUAGCAUUUGCGGCAGAACCCACAAUGAGCCACUAAGUCCGGGUCUGCAGUCGGAUGUGGAGGACAUCUCGCUGAGCGACACGGUCGACUCCACGGACACAUUUGAUGCCAAGCCGGGAACGGAUGCGCCAGGCCACCAGAGCGAUACGUUCUUUAAGCUCCUGUUCUACGCCUGUCUGGGCACUUUCCUUUAUCGCAACGUGUGGAUGUUUAUACUAGCUGCUAUUCCAGUAUUCCUGCACCUCAUUUACACAGUGGGAGCGUACACGGGAAUUACCCAGUUUGUUUGUAACAAAAUCAGUGAAGUUUACGCAACACUGCGAUCGUGGGCCAUCGAACACCACUCCGCCGUGCUGCCGCUGUGCCUGCCUGGCGUUCUGGAACUGAACUACAAGAUCAAUACUAUCGUGCGGGACUCGUUGAAGUCUUCUGUGGAAUCAGUAACUUCCAUCCUUAUGAUCAUUCUUAUGUUGCUCAUCAUCGUAUUUCUGAGCGUGUUCUUUUGCGUGAACAUAUACUCGGAGACGAUUGAGGUUGCUUACCUGGGCAAGGAUCUAAUUAACAAGACGAUCACAGAUCGGCCUGAGCUAAUUGAUAUCUUGCCAGCGAACAUGCAAUCGUCAAUCGAUGAUGCCUUAGACAAUGCACACCACUAUGGUCGCCGCAAAAUCGAGACCUACAUUGACGACUGGCUUGCGGAUGCUGACAAGGUGCACGCCACCAAGCUGAAGGAGCAGAUCCUCGACGUGUGGGACAGACUCAUCCAGUAUUGGAUCGAUUUUAACAAGGCGGGCACCUCGUACGGUCCGCGGGUACCAACGGAUGCGCUGAAGAGUACAUUUGGGGAAAUCGUCGACAACCCAGGACAUUUUAAAGAGCUAGUUUUAGUGGCAAAACAGGGCAUUAUCGGCUGGGCGCAGAGCAACACGCAGACGAUCCUCGAGGUUGCCGAGUCCUUGUGGCACAUCAUUCGAACCAAUCUUUCAAUGAUCAUGAGCGUGACCGGAGAAAUUCUAUCGCUAGUGCUGUCUGGUGGACAGGCGUGCAUUGAAUUUAUAUUGGACAUGAUUGUAUUCUUCACGGCCCUGUUCUAUCUGCUCUCAAGCAGUCAGGAGAAGUACGCGCCGCUGCAGAUCACCAAGUACUUGGGUUACUCAAGUUCGGGGAUAAAAAUUGCCGAUGCCCUGGAGAAUUCAAUUACCGUGGUCCUAAUUUCCAUGUUCCGGUGCUCCACAUUUACGGGCUUGUUCACCUGGUUGGUGCACACGAUUUUUGGGGCCCGGAUAGUAUUCCUACCCUCCGCCUUGGCGGCCAUGCUGGCAGCGGCUCCUUUUCUAGGCAGUUACUGGUGUGCGGUGCCAGCCUUUUUAGAGCUCUGGCUGGCCCAGGACCGGUUUUAUGCAGGACUUAUACUGUUCCUGCUUCAGUUCUUUGUGCCCUCAUCUUUUGAAACGGCCAUAUAUGCGGACCUCAAAGGUGGUGGACAUCCGUACCUGAAUGGUCUGGCCAUAGCCGGAGGCAUGUAUUGGAUCGGCUGGCAAGGUGCUAUCUUCGGACCCUUGAUGCUUUGCUUCUUCAUCGGUCUCUUUGAGGUGGCCACUCUGGCUAUGCGCAGCCAUCAAGAUCCCAGGUAACUUAGACUUAAGCAGCGAUUUCGAUGAAUUUGUUUGAUUUGCAUGCAAAGUAUGAACUUUAUUAGACUUGUGCUGCCCAUGGAUUAAAGAACAGCACUGAUGAGGAGACACGCACCACGUGAGUUGGCAUGGGACAAAAACUACGAAUUUCAUUUUAAUACUCGAACUGCAAACUAACAUAAGCUGUAUGGCCAAAUACCUGACAAUCAAAAUGAGAUUGGCCCGAAUAUCAUACCCUAGAGUUAGGCUGCAAUUUUCCUUUGACUAUUGUUGAUAGUUUCUCAGUUGCUAACUUCUUCGCUUUCCAAUUUGGUUCUAUCUUGUACUAAAAUUUUUAAGUAUUCAAGAUUCCGUCUGAACAGCAAUCGCCCCUUAUAUCUCUGGUAUCAAUCUUAAUGAUUUUACAUACAAUGUGUACCUCGAAUUGUUUGUAGUCGCGAAACAUUUCCAAAGCCGUUAAGUACCGAUAUCGUGCUCGCUACUAAUUGCUUAAUGUAAACUUGUGAUUUGUUUAAUCUUAGAUACAAAAUGUGUUGCAAAUAUAUUUCUAUACUAAUUUUAA